GGGCAGGGUGAGUCGACCCCUAAGGCGAGGCCGAAAGGCGUAGUCGAUGGGAAACAGGUUAAUAUUCCUGUACUUGGUGUUACUGCGAAGGGGGGACGGAGAAGGCUAUGUUAGCCGGGCGACGGUUGUCCCGGUUUAAGCAUGUAGGCUGGUUAUCCAGGCAAAUCCGGAUAAUCAAGGCUGAGGUGUGAUGACGAGGCACUACGGUGCUGAAGUAACAAAUGCCCUGCUUCCAGGAAAAGCCUCUAAGCAUCAGGUAACAUCAAAUCGUACCCCAAACCGACACAGGUGGUCAGGUAGAGAAUACCAA
rnacentral:rRNA from 1 species